GUACAUUACACAGAACUCCUACAAGCAUAUCCCAUAAGAUAGAUAAAAUAAGUGGUAGAGAGUACUAUCACUUUGGAAUAAAGAAUGCCCUUCAGCAGUUCCUUAACUUGGCUUCAGAAGCAGUCAUACCUAGUUUUCCAUCUACUUUGUUAUUGAAAGUUAAUGGUGAUGGAAUACCUCUGCACAAAAGCUCCAAUAAACAAUUUUUGGCCACUCCUUGUUCAGUUUUGUGGUGAGACAAAAGCAAUAUCAGUUGUAAAUGUUGUAGGUAUUUUCUGGAGAUUGUAAACCAACAGAUACUCAAAAUAAUCUAAGAAAAUUCAUUACAGAUUUACAGGAGAUAAACAAUGGAUAUAUGUUUCUUGAGAAAACUUAUUUUUGUUAAGAUUCAUUGUUUUACAUAUGAUGCUCCUGCAAGAUAGUUCCUUAAGUGCAUUGUUUCUCAUAAUUCAUACUCAGGAUGUGAAUGCUGUACACAGCAUGGUAAAAAUCUGAAGAGUAUGACAUUUCCAUAAAUAAAUGCAACAUUGAGAACAGAUGAUGAUUUCAUUAGAGAAAAUUAUAGUGAUCAUCAUCAGCUUUGACAGCUUUGAAUAUUGGUAUGGUAACUAAAUUUAAGCUGGAUCCAAAGCAUCUUCUGUAUAGGUGUAAUGAGAAAGUUUCUGUAUUUGUGGCUGAAAGGCCCACUUAAUGUUCGCACUGGUUUGACUUAUAAAAAAGCUUAUUUCAAAAAAGCUUGAAGAAAUAUCUAUGUAUAUGCCAGAUGAGUUCCCUAGAAAACCACGAUCACUUGACUUUGUAGAAAAAUUUAAAGAAACUGAAUUUCGCUCUUUUUGUAUUGUACACAGGCCCAGUUUGCUUAGCAGAUAAAGUUGAGCAUAGUUUAUAAUUUUUUUUUUCCCUUUUAGCAUUGCUGUAACUCUGAUGUCCAGAGGAAAUGCUCAAUGCAAUAUUAGUAAAGGACAGAAGUUACUGAUUGCCUUUGUGAACCAUUUUUCAGAAUUGUAUGGCCUUACAAAUUUAGUUUGUAAUAUUCACAAUUUGAUUCAUAUUCCACAUGAUGUUGCUAGGUAUGGUUCACUGAAUGAAUUUUCUGCAUUUCCAUUUGAGAGCCAUUUAGGUUUGAUGAAAAAUGUUAAGAAAACCUAAUUGUGUCCUUACACAAGUUGUUAAAAGAAUGUAUGAAUGUAGGUCCAGAAAAUUAGUAUAUCCAGCAUCUGAACAACCAAUACUCAGGCAACAGUACUGUCAGGGACCAGUAAUAGGGCCAUUCCCAAGCAAACAAUUUAAAGAAAUAGUUUUUGAGAACUAUUGUAUUAAAACAAAUAGUGUUAAUCAUGGAGUAAUGAUAAGACCUAAUCCUACAGGACAUGUAGUAAAUAUAGCUAGAUAUGAUGAUGACUCUGAUUGUGUAUAAAAAUUACUCAAAAUAUGAAGCUUUGUACAGUUAUCCAGUUUCCUCAUGUACACUAGGAGUUUUCCUUGUUGGUGACAUGAGUUCUGAGGUGAAGUCAUGUAAUGUAAAAGAUGUAUUGCACAAAUAUAUAUCAUUCCCAUUUCAAAAUGAUAUAGCUGCAUUCCCUGCUUUUCAUACAGAGCACAGUCAUCAGUAAUAUGAGUGUGGAAAAUUUGCAGUUGUUUUUUAUCAUGAGAGUCUUGCAGAAGGAGUAGCACUUGUACCAACUGCCUGGUUAGUUGAACAAAAGAGAUAAUGCUUGUGGCCUCCCUUCAAAAGUGCACCCAAGGUGACAAAAGCAGCACUGGAAAUGUGGGAGCCAAAUGAUUCUUGGAGCCUUCACCCCAUUAGAGUCUUGGCCAAAAUUAAUUAUUAUGUUGCUGGAAGAACUCUGGCAAAGAGAGCUGAGGUUGCCUCCAAUAUUUAGAGUGAAGGAGAAUAUGGCAGGGAGCACAUAAGUAAUAAUAUGAACCUAGGUCUGUGUGGGAUCCCUUAUUGGUAUGCAGGUUGGGGCUGAAGAUCUUUGCUGUGAUCAUGGUUAAGAUUCUAAUUCUGUGGACAUACAGUUCCAAGUCUGAUUAGAAAGCUGACAUAAUAAAUUUUACUUCGGCAAAAUCACCUAUCCACUGGGUGGACAUUUCCCAUGAGAGAGAGUGCGUCACGCGCUGCUGGCAGUUGUUUGCUGAUCGCCGCGUCGGGCAGACAUGGUCAUUCUGGGUCAUACGGACUCCCAAGUUUUUGCUGUUUUCUUUCAGAUAAGGCCACGAUACUUGUUACGCAGGUACAGUGCCUUCAACUUCGUUACCCGUUUUUGGGGCGAGUUGUAUUAUUGGUAUAUCGGUCUCCACUGACGAUGGAACUGUGUGGGAAGCUUACGGCUUUGUUCUCCUUAUCGCAGUGCGGCAGCCAUGUCGGAGUCUGGUGAAGCGUCCUCUGCCUCUCGAUCCCCUUCCCCUCCUGCCCCACGUGCCUUCUGUGGGCCUUCUCCUCUCCCUGGGUCCACUGUUCGCCCUCAAGAUAACGACGACAGGCACAGGGAUCAUUCAUCUCGUCGCUUGAGUGGGAGGCAUGGUUGCGUGAGAUUACGUAACGGUGCUGACGCAUGUGGUUCCCGCGGCACUUCUCCUGCUCCUCCCCCUUGGUCAGUUGUGUUGGACGCCUUGGCUGAUUUGCGGGGUGAAGUGGAGGCCUUGAAGGCAGACAGACGGCAACUACCACCCCCUACUGGGUCGGCGCAGGUGACCGUGGAGGACAGUACUCUGGGGGGGCUGGGGUUUGUUGCCUCCUUGUUCUGCCACUUUUUCUGGUUUCUUGGCCAGGAUGAGUGAGGAUGAGGCAGUGUCGAUGCCUGCCGCCCCUGCUGACAGCACCUUAAUUCAGGGCACUAAGGCCUUUGCAUUUUCUUUUCCUCUCUACUAUUGCAUCCUCCCUCGUCAUCCACAUGGCUUCAAAGCCUCAUGGGAAAUGUCCGCCCAGCGGAUAGGUGAUUUUGCCGAAGUAAAAUUAACAAAGUACGAGUACACGAGACUUACCGUAGGUCAGUUGAAGUGUACU